UGUCUACUAAGAAAGUGUUAAUAGUCUAGCCUGCUCACUGAUAUUUAUAUUAAAUAGCCGCGGUAUCUUGACCGUGCAAAGGUAGCAUAAUCAUUAGUUUUUUAAUUGAAAACUUGUAUGAAUGGUCGGACAAGGAAAAAACUGUCUCUUUUAUUAAAUUUGAAAUUAACUUUUGAGUGAAAAGGCUCAAAUGUUUCAAAGGGACGAUAAGACCCUAUAAAGCUUUAUAAAUUUAAAGAUUUUGUAUAUUUUUACAUAUUAACAACUUCUUGAUUAUUUAUUUGGUUGGGGCGACGAUGGUAUAAUAAGAGUAACUGCUUUAAAACGCUUCAAAUAUACUUGAAUUAAAAUAAUAAUUGAUCCUUAAUAAAGAUCUUAAGACCAAGUUACUUUAGGGAUAACAGCGUUAUUUUUCCUGAGAGUUCUUAUCGAAGGAAAAGUUUGCGACCUCGAUGUUGAAUUAAAAUGUCUAUAUAGUGCAGCAGCUAUAUAAGAAG
rnacentral:rRNA from 7 species